GAUGAACGCUGGCGGCGUGCCUAAUACAUGCAAGUCGAGCGAACAGACGAGGAGCUUGCUCCUCUGACGUUAGCGGCGGACGGGUGAGUAACACGUGGAUAACCUACCUAUAAGACUGGGAUAACUUCGGGAAACCGGAGCUAAUACCGGAUAAUAUAUUGAACCGCAUGGUUCAAUAGUGAAAGACGGUUUUGCUGUCACUUAUAGAUGGAUCUGCGCCGCAUUAGCUAGUUGGUAAGGUAACGGCCUACCAAGGCAACGAUGCGUAGCCGACCUGAGAGGGUGAUCGGCCACACUGGAACUGAGACACGGUCCAGACUCCUACGGGAGGCAGCAGUAGGGAAUCUUCCGCAAUGGGCGAAAGCCUGACGGAGCAACGCCGCGUGAGUGAUGAAGGUCUUCGGAUCGUAAAACUCUGUUAUUAGGGAAGAACAAAUGUGUAAGUAACUAUGCACGUCUUGACGGUACCUGAUCAGAAAGCCACGGCUAACUACGUG
rnacentral:rRNA from 1 species